rnacentral:rRNA from 1 species
UGAUACCUACGGGGGGCAGCAGUGGGGAAUUUUAGACAAUGGGCGCAAGCCUGAUCCAGCUAUUCCGCGUGUGGGAUGAAGGCCCUCGGGUUGUAAACCACUUUUGUAGAGAACGAAAAGACACCUUCGAAUAAAGGGUGUUGCUGACGGUACUCUAAGAAUAAGCACCGGCUAACUACGUGCCAGCAGCCGCGGUAAUACGUAGGGUGCGAGCGUUAAUCGGAAUUACUGGGCGUAAAGGGUGCGCAGGCGGUUGAGUAAGACAGAUGUGAAAACCCCGAGCUUAACUCGGGAAUGGGAUAUGG